rnacentral:rRNA from 1 species
CUUGCUUCGUCUUGAGAGCGGCGGACGGGUGAGUAAUGCCUAGGAAUCUGCCUGGUAGUGGGGGAUAACGUCCGGAAACGGACGCUAAUACCGCAUACGUCCUACGGGAGAAAGCAGGGGACCUUCGGGCCUUGCGCUAUCAGAUGAGCCUAGGUCGGAUUAGCUAGUUGGUGGGGUAAUGGCUCACCAAGGCGACGAUCCGUAACUGGUCUGAGAGGAUGAUCAGUCACACUGGAACUGAGACACGGUCCAGACUCCUACGGGAGGCAGCAGUGGGGAAUAUUGGACAAUGGGCGAAAGCCUGAUCCAGCCAUACCACGUGUGUGAAGAAGGUCUUCGGAUUGUAAAGCACUUUAAGUUGGGAGGAAGGGCAGUAAAUUAAUACUUUGCUGUUUUGACGUUACCGACAGAAUAAGCACCGGCUAACUCUGUGCCAGCAGCCGCGGUAAUACAGAGGGUGCAAGCGUUAAUCGGAAUUACUGGGCGUAAAGCGCGCGUAGGUGGUUCGUUAAGUUGGAUGUGAAAUCCCCGGGCUCAACCUGGGAACUGCAUUCAAAACUGACGAGCUAGAGUAUGGUAGAGGGUGGUGGGAAUUUCCUGUGUAGCUGUGAAAUGCGUAGAUAUAGGAAAGAACACCAGUGGCGAAUGCGACCACCCUGGACUGAUACUGACACUGAGGUGCGAAAGGCGUGGGGAAGC